rnacentral:rRNA from 1 species
UGAACGCUGGCGGCGUGCCUAACACAUGCAAGUCGUACGAGAAAUCUUUUGUUCGCAGAAGAGAGUAAAGUGGCGCACGGGUGAGUAACGCGUGGAUAAUCUGCCUCUGAAUCGGGGAUAACGUUACGAAAGUGACGCUAAUACCGGAUAAUAUCUAGAAUGCUUCGGUUUUUUAGAUCAAAGGGGGCCACUACAUGUAAGCUUCUGUUUAGAGAUGAGUCCGCGUGCCAUUAGCUUGUUGGUAGGGUAAUGGCCUACCAAGGCUGCGAUGGCUAGCUGGUCUGAGAGGAUGAUCAGCCACACUGGAACUGAGACACGGUCCAGACUCCUACGGGAGGCAGCAGUGAGGAAUCUUGCGCAAUGGGGGAAACCCUGACGCAGCAACGCCGCGUGAGUGAAGAAGGCUUUCGGGUCGUAAAGCUCUGUCAAGUGGGAAGAACCUGUCCUAUGUUAAUACCAUGGGGCACUGACGGUACCAUUGAAGGAAGCACCGGCUAACUCC